ACAGAUCGUAUGGUAGGACAUAAAUUGGGAGAAUUUGCGCCACUAUCAUUUCCGUGGACAUGCAAAAAAUGAUAAUAGAUCCCGUCGUUAAUAAAGUGAAUAUAGAUUCAUUGGUGAGAGGUGAACCUUAUGAUAAGGAUAAUAAAGAAGAAGGUAGAAGUAUCUGCUUUAGGUCAACAUAUAUGUAUGUCUGCUCACAAAGCCCGAAGGGUAAUUGAUCAGAUUCGUGGACGUUCUUACGAGGAAACCCUUAUGAUACUCGAACUCAUGCCUUAUCGAGCAUGUUAUCCCAUUUUAAAAUUGGUUUAUUCUGCAGCAGCAAAUGGUAUUCACAAUCUGGGUUUCAACGAAGGAAGUUUAUUCAUUAUUAAAGCCGAAUAGCUAUGGGUCCUACUGCGAAAAGAUUAAAACCUCGAGCCCGAGGCGGAGUUAUCUGAUCAAAAAACCCACUUGUCAUAUAACUAUUGUUUUAAAAAGAUAUAUCCUUAGCUGAAUAUGAAUAUAGAGACUAUCUCGAUCUCGAGUGCUCAAAAAACACUAGAUUAAUAAAUAAAAAAAAAAAGAAAAAAAAAACUAUGACAUGUCAUGAUACAUAUAGGAAUGGGGAUUAUGGGACAAAAAAUAAAUCCACUAGGUUUCCGGCUUGGUACAACACAAAGUCAUCAUUCUCUUUGGUUUGCAAAACCAAAAAACUAUUGCGAGGGUCUACAAGAAGAUCAAAAAAUACGAAACUUUAUUAAGAAUUAUAUAAAAAAAAAUAUCAGAAUAUCUUCCGGUGUUGAGGGAAUUGCACGGAUAGAGAUUCAAAAAAGAAUUGAUCUAAUUCAAGUUAUAAUCUAUAUAGGGUUCCCAAAAUUAUUACUAGAAAAUAGACCGCGGAAGAAUUGAAGAAUUACAGAUGAAUGUACAAAAAGAACUUAAUUGUGUGAAUCGAAAAAUAAACAUUGCUAUUACACGAAUUACAAAUCCUUAUGGACACCCCCAAUAUUCUUGCCGAAUUUAUAGCCGGACAAUUAAAAAAAUAGAGUUUCUUUUCGAAAAGCAAUGAAAAAAGCUAUUGAAUUAACGGAACAGGCCGAUACAAAAGGAAUUCAAGUACAAAUUGCAGGGCGUCUUGACGGAAAAGAAAUUGCGCGCGCCGAAUGGAUCAGAGAAGGUAGAGUUCCUCUACAAACCAUUGGAGCUAAAAUUGAUUAUUGUUCCUAUACGGUUCGAAACUAUCUACGGGGUAUUGGGAAUCAAAAUUUGGAUAUUUGUAGACGAAAAAAAAAUAAGAGUUUACGGGUCUUUAGAGCCCCCCCAUUAAUGGAAAUAAACCAAACAAAGAACGAGCUCUUUUUAUCUUCAAUCAAAACAAAAAUGAGAAAUUCCGCAAUUCUAUAGGGUUGAAUAAAAAUUCGAUUGAUUUUUUUUUUUUUAUAUAAUUGCUAUGCUUAGUGUGCGACUCGUUGGUUUUUUUUAGGGCUAGGAUUCCAAAAAAAUGGACCGUCCUGUAGUAUGAACUAAUAACUAUAGCACUAAUAACCAAACUCAUUGCUUCGUAUUAUCUGAAUCCAAAGAACCAGUCAAGAUAUAAUAUAGUGGUCAUAUCGUUGUAGCAACUGAAAUUUGCAUAACAUAAAAACCCAAUCUGAUUGUAGGUUGUGAAGUUCGAAGUUGUGAAAGAAAAUCGAAAAGCAUGCGGAUAAAUGGAAGGAUGAGAGAAAGAGAGAAAGAAAAUAUCAAUGAUAUAAGAUUCCAAUAUGUAAGGGUCUGUAAGUCAUCUCAUAAAAAACAGUGUAAUAUAGCAUCAAUAAUGAUUCAUCCCUAACUAGAUGAAUCCGCUCAUAGAACAAAAAAAAAUCAAGAGCCCCGAGCCAAUAAAAACUGAGAAAAUUGACUUAAGAAAAAAUUUCAUUAAGGGCUCCGUUGGAGAAUUCAGACCUAACCAUUAAUCGAGAAGCAAUGGGAACGACGGAACCCGUGAAUAAAGAAAAAGAAGAUUCUAUUGGAAAUGAAUCUUAAUGAUUUAUUGGGUGGGAUGGCGAAACGAAACCCAGGAACUAAACUAUUCUUUUAUUCGUAGAGGUCAUGAACUAACCCUACAACUGAAAUAGAUAUUGAAAGAGUAAAUAUUCGCCCGCGAAAGGUUUAUUUUUUGAUUUUAUUGGAUUGAUUCAUUUUGCUCGAUCCGAUAUGGUAAAGGGCAAAACAAAAUAAAGAUUUGUUAUAACGAUAAAAAAAAAAAAGACAUUGAGAUUAUCUAUAAAUAGAACAUAAAUGUUUCAAUUCUAUAUCUAAACAUGAUAUACAAAUUUAGAAUAGAUUAAUUAGAUGAACUUUCAAAAAAUCCUAUGCUUCAGUAUAUUAUUCAUUAAAUUCCCCUAUAUCUUGAUAAAAUCGUUUUUAGUCCUUUCAUUCGCGAGGAGCUGGAUGAGAAGAAACUCUCAUGUCCAGUUCUGUAGUAGAGAUGGCAUUGAG
rnacentral:lncRNA from 1 species